GGUCUCAGUUCGGAUCGCAGUCUGCAACUCGACUGCGUGAAGGUGGAGUCGCUAGUAAUCGCGGAUCAGCACGCCGCGGUGAAUACGUUCCCGGGUCUUGUACACACCGCCCGUCACACCAUGGGAGUUGGAAAUGCCCGAAGCCAGUGACCCAACCGUAAGGAGGGAGCUGUCGAAGGUGGAGCCGAUGACUGGGGUGAAGUCGUAACAAGGUAAC
rnacentral:rRNA from 1 species